UACGUAGGGGGCAAGCGUUAUCCGGAUUUACUGGGUGUAAAGGGAGCGCAGACGGCUUGUCAAGUCUGAAGUGAAACCCCGCGGCUCAACUGCGGGCUUGCUUUGGAAACUGAUGUGCUAGAGUGUCGGAGGGGUAAGCGGAAUUCCUAGUGCAGCGGUGAAAUGCGUAGAUAUUAGGAGGAACACCGGUGGCGAAGGCGGCUUACUGGACGACAACUGACGUUGAGGCUCGAAAGCGUGGGGAGCAAAC
rnacentral:rRNA from 1 species